AUUUUAGACAGUUUUCGUGUGAAACGAAAGUGGCCGCAUUCGUGUUCAUCCUUAAUAUUGAAAUGUAAGUUGUAUUUUAUGAUAAUACAUAACAUAUGUAAAGGUUGAGGAUGAACACGGAUGCGGCCACUUUCAUUUUUGACAAAAAUCAUCUGAAAA
rnacentral:sRNA from 1 species